UAUACAAAGUUUAAAAGUAUUUGAAAAUAUGUGCUGAAAUGGUUGAUAUAGAUAAUUUAUGGAUAGAAUUAUCAAGGAAUUUUCCUGUCUUGAGUGGAAGCGUUUGUUUCGUGGAGACGGACAGUGGAAACUUUCAGAAAUUGCGCGAAGAUGUGAUAAGACUGGGACUAAGCGAGAGUGUUUCUGAAAUAUUAUGGAGUGAAUUUCAAUCUGCCAUUCGAGAUAAGGUUGUUCCUUUGUUCUGGUCAAAUUUUCCAGUUCGAGUUGAUACUUCCAAAUGCGACUUCGAAUUGCGAUAUCAAUUAUUUCUUCGAUUUGCUGCUGCGGUGGAGAAUUUGUAUAAAACCUUCAAUUGUCUAAAGCUGCUAUUGAACCGAUUAAACAAACUGUCUCUUAUUCCAAAUAAAAAAUGGAAUUUAAAUUCUACAUUAUUGGAAGCAUUAUUGGGCCAGAUGCCAACAGGAUUUAAUGAGGCGGUACUAGCUUUUUAUUAUGUGGCAUUCCAGAUUCACUUGCAGUUGCAUUCCAAAAAUGCUAGAGUUCUUCUAGAUGCAGAUGUGAUUCUAAAAAAAGCAGAGUGCCAUGUUUGCAACAAAAAAAUAAAUUCUUGUGAAUGUCUGAGUUUGGAAAGUACGGUAAAUAAAGUAAAUACAGCUCUCCGAGAAAUGGAACUUCUAGAUGGUAUUGCAGGUCAGAGCUUAACAUCUCUUGUUCAGAAAUGUAUUCAAGAACAUAUUAAGGAAACUUGUCAUGGAAUAUUUGAUAGAAGCUUCCUGCGCCAACUGGAAAAUUGGCUGGAUGAAACUGUAAUCAGUUGGCUUAGGAAGGUUUUCAGUCCCACAUGCCUAAACACAUCGGUCAAUGACGCGGAGACAACUAAUAUUGUAAAAGGAUUCAAAGUGAAAUUAACAUAUUUUUUAUAUGAAAAUGUAGCACUUAGUAUUAUUGAGCAAUUUUUCAGUAUAAUUAUUGAUUUUCCUGAAUCUAUUCCUGCUAUAAAUGAUUUAAAAAUUUGUAUGGAAAAGAUAGAUAUGAGAAAACACUUUAUUCAAACUCUCUCAAAUACCCUUAAAAUUCGAGUUCUACAUCCGGGCGUAAAUACAAUGGAUAUUUUAACAGGCUAUAUUGCUGCUAUUAAAGCAAUUCGGUAUCUUGAUAAUAGUGGGAUUAUAUUGGAGACUGUAACGGCUCCAAUUAGAGAGUACCUUUGCAAACGGAGUGAUACAGUUCGUCGAGUAGUGACAGGUCUAACUGAAGAAGGUCCUACUGAUUUAACAGAGGAGCUUGCUAAAGGAGAAACUGUAAAAGACAAUGAUAAAAUUGAUGGCAAUGAAGAGUUAAAUAAUUGGGAAAAUUGGUUGCCAGACUCAUUUGGUAUUGAUCAAUCAGCGCGCGUGCAGCUUACAAAUAUUAACCGGUCAGCAGAUAUAAUUUCUAUGGUAGUCGAUAUAUACGGAAGUAAGGAAUUGUUUAUGAAUGAAUAUCGCAACUUAAUGGCAGAUCGUUUACUGACAUCUUUGGAUUUCAAUGCUGAUAAGGAAAUUCGAAACUUGGAAUUACUUAAGCUUAGAUUCGGUGAGUCUCUACUUCAUAGUUGUGAAGUUAUGCUGAAGGAUAUAACAGACUCAAAACGUAUUAACUCCCAUAUCGCUAGUGACUCCAAAUUCAACGAAAAUAAAAUGUUUGAUAUAUCAACAUUUAUAAUAUCUGCACAAUUUUGGCCGUCAUUCAAUAAGGAAAGCUUAGAACUACCUGAGGAAAUUGCCAAUGAAUUCGACAAAUAUACUAAAGCUUAUGAAGCAUAUAAAGGCAACAGGACAUUAAAUUGGCGACCAGUAACCGGCCGAGUUAGUAUAGUUAUUGAAAUAGGAGAACGAAUCAUUGAAAUGGCAGUAGCACCAACCCAGGCAAUCAUAUUGUAUCACUUUCAGAGCAAAGAAUCCAGAAUUUCAAAGUCGCAUGUAUUCAGUAGGAAUAUAUCACAGAAUAGCAGUGAUUUCGCGAAGCGACCCAAAUCGAAUCAAAUAUCGAAGAGAACAAAUGCACGGCGUUUGGUCGAGUCUGGAUUUCAUGGAAAGCAGCAUGCAAGAAAUCGCUUCUGGCCAAAAACAAAAGAAAACAACAUGUAGACUUUACCCAUUCUAAUUGGCUUUCGACUCUAAACUAGUCGAAGUAUGUCGUUUGGAACUAUGAAACGAAAAAAACCUCAUUAGUCCUGAUGGUCGGAGGUAUUUUCAAAAGCCCAUUGACCAAAAAUAAAUAGAAAUCUCAUUUUUGAGAAAGUAAAAACGGUAUGGGAGCUAUUAAAAUCUUUAACAAGAAUGCGAAAUCGGUGAGGCAGUGUUAAAGCAGAAGGGUUAUGCAACCAAAUACUAACUAAAAGAUAAUAUUUGAAUUUAUUGACCAUGAAAACUCAAAUAAAUUAAGGUACAAACUGUACCAGGACAACGAUCCCAAACAUAAAUCAUUGCUGUGCAGGACGUGACUACUAAAUAAUUGCAGUAAAGUUAUUGACACUCCCGCUCAGAGUCCUGACUUCAGCCCCAUACAAAAUUUAUGGGCUUUUAUAAUGAAGCAAGCUGGCGAACGGGGCCCAACUAAUAAAAACCGCUCUUAUUAAGGCCAUUAAGGAAGAGCGGAACGAAAUACCUGGAAAUUAUGACUUAAAUAACCUUAUUCGGAACAUGCCCCGUCAUAGUCGAGCUGUUAUAGAUGCAAGUGGCCAUCAUUCCAAAUAUUCGGAGGUGUAUAGAAAACGACACAGAAUUGCUUAUUUAUCGGAAUGAAAAUCAAUAUCUGCAUGAAAUGGUGUUAUGCAACCGAUUUGAUUUUGCUUUUUCCGAAGAUAUGCAAAACCGAUAUUCAAAUCAGCUGUCAUCACAGUUGUGCAAAAAAAAACAGUAAUUCAAUUUAAGUUUUGUACUGUUGUUAACACAUUUGAAAUAAUUAAAAAUAAAAUGACUUCGGCAGAGAUAGCAUUUAUAAUGAAUGAAGGAUAUCGAGAAAUAAUGCAGAAAAAACCCAAAAUUGUAAGGGAUCGAGCAAUCCGUUGAAGCUACCAGAGUCGAUUUCACUAAUCUUAUUUUCCUGCAUAGUUCGAUUCAUUCCGAUUCUGUUCAUCGUUGAGACGGAUGCACGUUGAAAUGAAUGCAAAUUAUAUUUAAGACUUUAAGACCUCAUGGAAGAGUAAAAAUAACCCUUCAAUUUAUUUCAAUUAUUGAGUCGUUAUCGCUGUUCGGUGACGAAUGUCGGUAAAGUUGAAAACGAAAUGAAGGCCACGGAUUAAGCGCUAUGAGCUGUUAACACACUAAUAAUUAGCGAAGCUACGACGUACCUUUGCCAUAUAGAGAAAAAUAU
rnacentral:misc_RNA from 1 species